AAAAAAUAAUGAGCCACAGAUUUCUUUCUUACAUGAAAAUGCUCUUGUAAGAAAAAGUAUUAAGUUGUAAGAGUUUUUCCUCUGCGGCAGUUAAAAAACAAUAGAUUACAAAUAAGAAAAGCACAAAGGAAUCAAAGCUGUCUCCCCCCUCUUCCAACAAAGAUAUAUUGUGCUCCAGAUCUUCCUUGAUAAGGAAUUAACACAAAGGAGAGACAGAAAGAAGGGAUUGCUUGGAAAGGAAAAUGGGAGAAAUAUACUUACCACAGUUUAAGUGGCAGCCAAAAGGGAGAGGAAAAGUUUCCUUGAAGUUUGCUCUAAAAGAGAUUUAAAAAGUGGUGGAGGAAAGAGAGGCUAAAGAAGGAGGGAUUUCAAGCACUCCACCGCCAGGGUUAAUUUUGGUUCAUCCCAGAGGUUCCUGCCCACUCUUUGGGACCGGAGCUGGGAAGCACUGGAGUGCGCAAAGGCUUGGUAUUUUGGAAAGGUGACAGUUGGGCUCUGGAAUCCUUGGAAUGAGGCAGAGGAAUUGAAUUAGCAGCAGGAGUGACUCAGUUUCAGAAGGGAGGAAGGGGAGGGCCUUCCCUACAGGCCACACCAGCACCUUCAGGGCAAAGUUGGCCAGGAAAUCAGGAGGAGGAGAUUUUGCAGUGCCACCCACCCUCCUUGUCUGCAGAUUCUACACCCAUAGAUCUCACCAUAUAAAACUAUGUAUAAAAGGCAAAACUUAAUUUUCCAAUGUUACAAGGGACACUGUUUUGGUAUGCUGUUGUAUAUAAAGAAAGAAGCAAGAACCACCAACGAUUCUCCUCCAUCAACUCUAGUGGAGUGUCCAAAUUGUCAAAACAUCUGAUCAUCAUCUCUCAAGGUCUGGCUCAGGUGGCCACAGAAUGAAGGACCGGGCCAAAAUGCUGAUGUUGCUGUUAGUGUGGGGAUUAUGGUACCUGACAGCGCUGGAAGAGGGAGGUACUGCAUCUGCUGCCUUCUUGUUUCCCAGCGUGGAGAGACAGCUCCAGGACACUAAGAAGUCUGUGGAUGAUAAAAAUGAGAACAGUGUGGACCAGAAUAUUAUGAAGAUUAUGGAGGACAGCCUGGAAAUUCUGGGGAAAGAAACAAUGGAUAUUCCUGUGGAAACCAGCAAGCUGAUUUUAGACUAUCGCAAUGAGAAGAAACGUCAGAAGGUGGAGAAUGCCACACUGUACAGCCAGAAGGAAGUCAUGAAAUUGACAGAUAAUCAUACUGAUAUAUUGUUCUCAGAGGAAAUUAUGACCUCAAUUGAACAGAUGGACACUCAAGGUGAAGAGAAAAAGGAGAAAAUGCCAGAGGCUAGUCAGCAAGAAAAAAGCAUUGAGGAAGACAGACCAAUCACUGAGAACAGGUUCCUGAAUUUGGGUGUCCCCCAGCCAAGACUUCGGCUAUUUUUUAUCUAUCGCUUCCCUCCUCAACUUAAGAGUGAGCAGCAGGUCCCUGAAGCAAACUGGUUAAAGGAAGAGCCAGUCAGUGAUAGGAGGCACAGGCUGCUGGCCAUUCGGAAUGGGCUUUUAGCUGCCCCCCGACCCAUCAAGAAGAAGGCCCUGCUUGUCACCCCGACUCAACCAACCACCCCGAGAAAACGUCGCUUCUUUUUCUUCUGGAGGAAAAUAUAAGACACAAGGAAAGGCACCUGUGUGGGUCAUGGUGUCUGCCUCAGUUUCCUCUUCUCAUAUCUCAAGAGUGGGGGUGGAUCAGAGUGAGAUGGGGGGAAUCUGUUUCUCUUGAAAUAAAAACUCAUUCUCUUUCAGAGUAAAAUCCUGAAGAUGUACAGUUGGUGUGUUUUAUUUCCUUUAGGUUAUAGGGAUGGAACAUAUUUGUUUUUAAUAUACUGCACACUGACAAUAUCUGAAUCCAAGGAAGAAUCUAAAGAAGCAUAAAGAGAAGUCACUUUUCCAAAUGCUGAAUAGUAUUGUGAUUGUAUAGGCAUACUGCAAAUAACAAAAUUUCUGAAAAAAAAGCUUCUUUUUUACAAGGAC
rnacentral:lncRNA from 11 species